UACGUAGGUGGCAAGCGUUGUCCGGAUUUACUGGGCGUAAAGAGCGCGCAGGCGGUCGGAUUAGUCGCGUGUGAAAGCCCCCGGCUCAACUGGGGAGGGUCACGCGAUACUGUUCGACUCGAAGGCAGGAGAGGGAAGUGGAAUUCCCGGUGUAGUGGUGAAAUGCGCAGAUAUCAGGAGGAACACCGGUGGCGAAGGCGGGUCUCUGGGCCGAUACUGACGCUGAGGCGCGAAAGCGUGGGGAGCGAACAGG
rnacentral:rRNA from 1 species